rnacentral:rRNA from 1 species
UCGAGAAUUUUUCUCAAUGGGGGAAACCCUGAAGGAGCGACGCCGCGUGGAGGAUGAAGGUCUUCGGAUUGUAAACUCCUGUCAUUGGGGAACAAUGCGCAAAUAUUAACUGUAUUUGCGUUGAUAGUACCCGAAGAGGAAGAGACGGCUAACUCUGUGCCAGCAGCCGCGGUAAUACAGAGGGUGCGAGCGUUGUCCGGAAUCACUGGGCGUAAAGGGCGCGUAGGUGGCGCGGGCAGUCAACGGUGAAAGUUCGGGGCUCAACCCUGAAUCGGCCGUCGAUACUCCCGUGCUUGAGCACUGUAGAGGCAGAUGGAAUUCCGGGUGUAGCGGUGGAAUGCGUAGAGAUCCGGAAGAACACCGGUGGCGAAGGCGGUCUGCUGGGCAGUUGCUGACACUGAGGCGCGACAGCGUGGGGAGCAAACAG